GAUGAACGCUGGCGGCGUGCCUAAUACAUGCAAGUCGAGCGAACAGACGAGGAGCUUGCUCCUCUGACGUUAGCGGCGGACGGGUGAGUAACACGUGGAUAACCUACCUAUAAGACUGGGAUAACUUCGGGAAACCGGAGCUAAUACCGGAUAAUAUAUUGAACCGCAUGGUUCAAUAGUGAAAGACGGUUUUGCUGUCACUUAUAGAUGGAUCCGCGCCGCAUUAGCUAGUUGGUAAGGUAACGGCUUACCAAGGCGACGAUGCGUAGCCGACCUGAGAGGGGGCUCGCCCACACUGGAACUGAACCACGGUCAAGACUCCUCCGGGAGGAAGCAGAAGGGAUUCUUCCGAAAGGGGCAAAGGCCGGACGGAGCACCGCCGCGUGAGUGAUAAAGGUCUUGGGACCGUAAAACUGUGUUAUUGGGAAAAAAAAAUUGUGAAAGUACCUAUGCACGUCUGGACGUUCCCUAAUAAGAAAGCCAGGGCUAACUACGUC
rnacentral:rRNA from 1 species